rnacentral:rRNA from 1 species
GAUGAACGCUAGCGGCAGGCCUAAUACAUGCAAGACGAACGGUAAGUUGAGUAGCAAUACUUAGCCAAGAGUGUCGUACGGGUGCGUAACACGUAUGCAACCUACCCUAUACAGGAGGAUAGCCUAGGGAAACCUGGAUUAACCCUUCAUAGUAUUAUUGGAUGGCAUCAUUUGAUAAUUAAAACUGAGGUGGUAUAGGAUGGGCAUGCGUCUGAUUAGUUAGUUGGCGGGGUAAAUGGCCCACCAAGACGAUGAUCAGUAGGGGUUCUGAGAGGAAGAUCCCCCACACUGGCACUGAGAUACGGGCCAGACUCCUACGGGA